rnacentral:rRNA from 1 species
UGAGGAAUAUUGGACAAUGGGUGAGAGCCUGAUCCAGCCAUCCCGCGUGAAGGACGACUGCCCUAUGGGUUGUAAACUUCUUUUAUACUGGGAUAAACCUACCCUCGUGAGGGUAGCUGAAGGUACAGUAUGAAUAAGCACCGGCUAACUCCGUGCCAGCAGCCGCGAUAAUACGGGAGGGUGCAAGCGUUAUCUGGAUUUAUUGGGUUUAAAGGGUCCGUAGGCGGGCUCGUAAGUCAGUGGUGAAAUCUCAUAGCUUAACUAUGAAACUGCCAUUGAUACUGCGGGUCUUGAGUAAAGUAGAAGUGGCUGGAAUAAGUAGUGUAGCGGUGAAAUGCAUAGAUAUUACUUAGAACACCAAUUGCGAAGGCAGGUCACUAUGUUUUAACUGACGCUNAUGGACGAAAGCGUGGGGAGCGAACAGGAUUAGAUACCAUGGUAGUCCACGCCGUAAACGAUGCUAACUCGUUUUUGGGG